GACCUGAUGCCGGAAUGGCUCAACGGCCUCGAUUGCAACCCGAGUGUUUACAGGUUCGAUUCCUGUUCAGGUCUCCA
rnacentral:tRNA from 2 species